rnacentral:rRNA from 1 species
GAAGAACCUUACCUGGUCUUGACAUCCACGGAAGUUUUCAGAGAUGGGAAUGUGCCUUCGGGAACCGUGAGACAGGUGCUGCAUGGCUGUCGUCAGCUCGUGUUGUGAAAUGUUGGGUUAAGUCCCGCAACGAGCGCAACCCUUAUCCUUUGUUGCCAGCGGUCCGGCCGGGAACUCAAAGGAGACUGCCAGUGAUAAACUGGAGGAAGGUGGGGAUGACGUCAAGUCAUCAUGGCCCUUACGACCAGGGCUACACACGUGCUACAAUGGCGCAUACAAAGAGAAGCGACCUCGCGAGAGCAAGCGGACCUCAUAAAGUGCGUCGUAGUCCGGAUUGGAGUCUGCAACUCGACUCCAUGAAGUCGGAAUCGCUAGUAAU